UACGUAGGCAGCGAGCGUUGUUCGGAAUUACUGGGCGUAAAGAGUGUGUAGGCGGUGCUCUAAGUUCGGUGUGAAAUCUCCUGGCUUAACUGGGAGGGUGCGCCGGAAACUGGAGUGCUCGAGCGUGGGAGAGGAAAGCGGAAUUCCUGGUGUAGCGGUGAAAUGCGUAGAUAUCAGGAGGAACACCUGUGGUGAAGACAGCUUUCUGGACCAGUGCUGACGCUGAGACACGAAAGCGUGGGUAGCAAACAGG
rnacentral:rRNA from 1 species